rfam:Stegodyphus mimosarum contig79762, whole genome shotgun sequence.
GCCUUCGUGGUGUAGUGGUCAGCACGCUCGACACGCAACUGAGAGGUCCGUGGUUCGAUCCCCGGCGAAGGCG